UGAUGUGUGUGAAAAAUAAAUGUAUGCGAAUGUGAAAAUUCGUAUCGUCUAUUAUUCGAACCUCUCGUAUUCGAAAAAUGAACAUUCGUAGAAACAAAAAUGGUGCAUCGGCCGGGAUUGUGGAUUUAUUUGGUUAAGUAAAAUACGUUUGGACUGACUCGAAACGAAAGUAUAUUCGUUUUGCCACUUCACAGUUAAUUUUGUUUUAAUGCUUCAGAAUAUAAUUGAAGUGGUUUAUCCGAACAUUUCAUUUGGAAUAUGACUCAAGAAAUUUAUUGGAUAUCCUGAUUAUUUUGAAGUAACUUCGUUUGCGGAGCAACAAAUGUCAGCUGGUGGGAAUCAUAAACUGAGUACUCCAACAACUCGCUGGAAGUCACACGAAAAAAUCUGAAUGACCGGACCGCCGCAACAGCAGCACUGGCGAGAACGGUGGUUGAGUCAAGCGCCAUCACCGGCCCCGAUAUAAUCCUUUCCUAAGGAAGUAUAUCCCGUCAUCGAUGGCAGAAACCAGAUUCCAUCUUUUCGUGUACCCACAAGGGUGGCGAGAUUUAACCACCAUGCUGGAAGCUUCUCAUCCUCAAUUAAGAGGUGCCUUCAGUGGGACUUUUUUUUUUGUAGAAGUCUGCCUGUCUGCCAAAAUACAAGUUCACAGAAUAACCGCAAAACAAAAGAGCAAGAUGGAUCAAGCAUGAUAUGCAGAUUUACCAUCAAAAAUGUAGAUCCUUAUCC